rnacentral:rRNA from 1 species
UGCGUAGGUGGGCAGGUAAGUCAGUGGUGAAAUCUCCGGGCUUAACCCGGAAACUGCCGUUGAUACUAUCUGUCUUGAAUGUAGUGGAGGUGAGCGGAAUAUGUCAUGUAGCGGUGAAAUGCUUAGAUAUGACAUAGAACACCCAUUGCGAAGGCAGCUCGCUACACUAUUAUUGACACUGAGGCACGAAAGCGUGGGGAUCAAACA